rnacentral:rRNA from 1 species
UACCCGCGGUCCAAGUCGCAGCCAUCAUUAUUGGGUCUAAAACAUCCGUAGCUUGCUUGAUAAGUUUCUUGUGAAAUUCCAUGUCUCAAAUAUGGAGCGCGCAAGAAGUACUGUUAAGCUAGAGACUGGAAGACGUAAGAAGUAUGUUUGGAGUAGCGGUAAAAUGUGUUAAUCCCAAGCAGACUAACAACAGCGAAGGCAUCUUACGAGGACAGUUCUGACAGUAAGGGAUGAAGGCUAGGGGCGCGAA